rnacentral:rRNA from 1 species
GUGAAUGGACGGGUGCUUACCAUGACAGUCGAACGCCGAACCGCCUUCGGGCGGGGAGGAGUGGCGAACGGGUGAGUAACACGUGGGCAAUCUGCCCUGCACUCUGGGAUAACUCCGGGAAACCGGAGCUAAUACCGGAUACGACCUUCCAGGGCAUCCUGGGGGGUGGAAAGCUCCGGCGGUGCAGGAUGAGCCCGCGGCCUAUCAGCUGGUUGGUGGGGUGACGGCCCACCAAGGCGACGACGGGUAGCCGGCCUGAGAGGGCGACCGGCCACACUGGGACUGAGACACGGCCCAGACUCCUACGGGAGGCAGCAGUGGGGAAUAUUGCACAAUGGGCGCAAGCCUGAUGCAGCGACGCCGCGUGAGGGAUGACGGCCUUCGGGUUGUAAACCUCUUUCAGCAGGGAAGAAGCGCAAGUGACGGUACCUGCAGAAGAAGCACCGGCUAACUACGUGCCAGCAGCCGCGGUAAUACGUAGGGUGCGAGCGUUGUCCGGAAUUAUUGGGCGUAAAGAGCUCGUAGGCGGCCUGUCGCGUCGGAUGUGAAAGCCCGGGGCUUAACCCCGGGUCUGCAUUCGAUACGGGCAGGCUAGAGUUCGGUAGGGGAGAUCGGAAUUCCUGGUGUAGCGGUGAAAUGCGCAGAUAUCAGGAGGAACACCGGUGGCGAAAGCGGAUCUCUGGGCCGAUACUGACGCUGAGGAGCGAAAGCGUGGGGAGCGAACAGGAUUAGAUACCCUGGUAGUCCACGCCGUAAACGUUGGGCACUAGUGUGGGCGGCAUUCCACGUCGUCCGUGCCGCAGCUACGCAUUAAGUGCCCCCGCCUGGGGAGUACGCCGCAAGGUUAAAACUCAAAGAAUUUGACGGGGGCCCGCACAACCGCGGAGCAUGUGGCUUAUUCGACGCAACGCCGAUGACCUAACAAGGCUUG